GGUGAGACAGGCAGACAGGUGACUGCGCUCGAUUUGAAAUCGAGAGCCGCGAGGCUUCGGAGUUCGAUUCUCCGUCUCACCG
rnacentral:tRNA from 1 species